rnacentral:rRNA from 1 species
CGAACGCUGGCGGCGCGUCUUAAGCGAUGCAAGUCGGACGGGCGAAGAGGGGUAGCUUGCUCCCUCCUAGAGUGGCGGACUGGUGAGUAACACGUGGGUGAUGCACCUCCUGGACGGGGAUAGCCGGUAGAAAUACCGGGUAAUACCGGAUAAGGGACAUCUUUGUAGAGGAAGAUGUGGAAAGGAGCUACGGCUCCGCCGGGAGAGCGGCCCGCGCACUAUUAGCUUGUUGGCGGGGUAACGGCCCACCAAGGCGACGAUAGUUAUCCGGCCUAAGAGGGUGGACGGACACAUUGGGACUGAGAUACGGCCCAGACUCCUACGGGAGGCAGCAGCUAAGAAUAUUCCGCAAUGGGGGAACCCUGACGGAGCGACGCCGCGUGGACGAUGAAGGCCGGAAGGUUGUAAGGUCCUUUUGUCAGUGUGGAAUAAGCGGGGAAGGGAAUGUCCGCGCGAUGACUGUAGCUGACGAAUAAGCACCGGCUAAUUACGUGCC